UGGUCACAUGUGCGGAAGCUUAUCUUGUAGCCCGAUCCAUUCUGUGCUUGCAGUCUAUUUAAGUGGUGCUGUCAAAGCUCAUCUCCACAAAUAGUGUUUUCCUUUACAUUCAGAAUGUCUUUUUGCUCCUUCUUUGAUGGCGAGGUCUAUAAAGACCAUUUCAAACCAGGUAUGUAUGUGUGUUCUCAGUGCAACAACCCGCUGUUCUCCAGCAGGUCUAAGUUCCCCCACUCCUCCCCGUGGCCUGCCUUCACUGAGACCAUCAAAGAGGACAGUGUCACCAAGAUGAUGGAGUCACUCACAGCCUUCAAGGUGCUUUGUGGGAAGUGUGGUAACGGACUGGGCCAUGAGUUUGUCAACGACGGUCCGGAGGAAGGCAUCUCACGAUUCUGAAUAUUCAGCAACUCGCUCAAGUUUGUCCCAAAUAAAGACAAACAGUAAGUCGAGUUGAGGAGCCCAAGCAGGUAGCUGUAGCCUCACAUCACAGCCCUGUGUAAGGGACUGGUCAGUAUGUGACGUGGACAGGAACAAGGCCCAGGAGGGACACCCUGUACACUGAUGACUCUAUGACCAGCCUGGAAUACAGGGACAUUCUAGAGAAACAUUAUUUUUCCCCAAGAUAGUUGGUCUAUAGACGUGGUAGUGUUUUUCAGUGCAUCACAGAUCUAAAAGCAUUCCUUGAAAACCUCUUAUAAUAAGCAUGCAGAUUUAGUUCAUCUUUAAGAUAUAGGUUACGUUAAGAUAUAGGUUACGUUAAGAUAUAGGUUACGUUAAGAUAUAGGUUACAUUAAGAUAUAGGUUACGUUAAGAUAUAGGUUACAUUAAGAUAUAGGUUACGUUAAGAUAUAGGUUACAUUAAGAUAUAGGUUACAUUAAGAUAUAGGUUACGUUAAGAUAUAGGUUACGUUAAGAUAUAGGUUACGUUAAGAUAUAGGUUACAUUAAGAUAUAGGUUACAUUAAGAUAUAGGUUACGUUAAGAUAUAGGUUACGUUAAGAUAUAGGUUACGUUAAGAUAUAGGUUACAUUAAGAUAUAGGUUACAUUAAGAUAUAGGUUACAUUAAGAUAUAGGUUACGUUAAGAUAUAGGUUACGUUAAGAUAUAGGUUACGUUAAGAUAUAGGUUACGUUAAGAUAUAAGCCUAUGGUGGAUUAUAUGCUUUGUAUGCUAAUCUGCAUUCCAUUGCUUUGUAGCAGUUCAAGCAUGUGAAGCAAUUUGAGUUUUUUGUUGUUGUAUUUAGUUAUUUGAUUAUUUAUUUGAAUAUACUUACCAUGUAUUCUGUAAGGAGGUGACACAGUUGGUGCAAGGUGUCAUGUUCUUGAAAAAAACUCUCACUGCAAUUUAGCCAAAGACAUACGCAGGCUUGCUAUCACAUCUAUGCAUUUGAUGUACAUGUAUACUACUCAUUGAAAUAUCACUUCCUUAUAUUAUGUAGAUAAAUAUUGAACAAUUAGCUGAAUUUCGGUUGUAUGGACCAUUUGUGAUUUAACAUUGCUACAGUAUAUUUGCACAUUGAGCCAUGUGAAAUGGCAUACUUGAAUUGACUAGCAUGAUUGCUUAUUAUUUAUAUGAUCUCGUAUGUCAUUUAUGACUUGGAGUCUUCUGUUGUGUGAUUCCUAUGACAUUAUUUUAAUUAAUACAUGUUCUAACUGGCAAUGCAAAUGGAAUAAACAAUGAUUUUUCUGGUAUUAAUACAAUUGCACUGAUGAAAUGCAGAUGCUUUGUUUAUCUGUCAUGAUUCUAUUAUAUUGAUAACAAUAAAUUACGAUAGUUUACUAAAACCA